CGUGUAUAUGAUGAAGAAGUGGAGGAGCCAGUACUCAAGGCUGAGGCAGAAAAAACAGAGCAGGAGAAGACACGAGAGCAGAAAGAAGUAGAUCUCAUUCCUAAAGUCCAGGAGGCUGUGAACUAUGGCUUACAAGUAUUGGACAGUGCCUUUGAGCAACUUGAUAUCAAAGCAGGAAACUCAGACUCCGAGGAAGAUGAUGCUAAUGGGCGGGUGGAACUGAUCCUUGAACCAAAGUAGAGACGGGGUUUCACCAUGGUGACCAGGCUGGUCUUGAACUCCUGACCUCAAGUGAUCCGCCCGCCUCGGCCUCCCAAAA
rnacentral:lncRNA from 10 species